GUGGGGAAUAUUGGGCAAUGGGCGCAAGCCUGACCCAGCAACGCCGCGUGAAGGAAGAAGGCCUUCGGGUUGUAAACUGCUUUUGUACGGAACGAAACGGUCCUGGUUAAUACCUGGGGCUAAUGACGGUACCGUAAGAAUAAGCACCGGCUAACUACGUGCCAGCAGCCGCGGUAAUACGUAGGUGGCAAGCGUUGUCCGGAAUUAUUGGGCGUAAAGGGAGCGCAGGCGGGAAGGUAAGUCGGUCUUAAAAGUGCGGGGCUCAACCCCGUGAUGGGAUCGAAACUAUCUUUCUUGAGUGCAGGAGAGGAAAGUGGAAUUCCUAGUGUAGCGGUGAAAUGCGUAGAUAUUAGGAGGAACACCAGUGGCGAAGGCGACUUUCUGGACUGUAACUGACGCUGAGGCUCGAAAGCCAGGGGAGCGAACGGGAUUAGAUACCCUUGUAGUCC
rnacentral:rRNA from 1 species